rnacentral:lncRNA from 1 species
AAAAAGCCUGGAAGAGAGUUUGUAACUUUCCUGAUAAUCUGCAAUGUGGCCAUGUGGAUCAUGCAGACAUUCGAGGUGAAGCCUCAUGGCCUGGAUGAGUACCGGCCAGAGUUCUACUCGAAAGUGCUCUGGAGCAUCGUAGGACACAUGUGCUUGCCGCUGAUGAUGUUCUAUAGGUUCCAUUCCUCUGUAUGCAUAGGGGAUAUUUGGCAGUACGCCUACAUGCCUUCUGGACACUAGAUGGAAGCAAUUUUUGAGGAACGAUUGGAAUGGACAUGGUUUAUCGUAUCUCGUUUAUGUAUUUAUCAUAAUCUCACUAGUAUUGUUGAAUCUUGUAGGUAGAUAUUAAACGGCUGAACGGGAAAGUGAUUGAUAGUGUUUACAAAAUGUAUUAUAUUAUUAAAUAUAUUAUGUACGAUUGUCCAACUUCAUAUUGGAUUAAAUAAAAGCUUCCUGCUGUUUGUUCUGA